UACGGAGGAUGCGAGCGUUAUCCGGAUUUAUUGGGUUUAAAGGGUGCGUAGGCGGAAUAUCAAGUCAGCGGUAAAAAUUCGGGGCUCAACCGUGGAAUUGCAGUUGAAACUGGAGGCCUUGAGUGCACACAGGGAUGCCGGAAUUCAUGGUGUAGCGGUGAAAUGCUUAGAUAUCAUGAAGAACUCCGAUCGCGAAGGCAAGUGUCCGGGGUGCAACUGACGCUGAGGCUCGAAAGUGCGGGUAUCAAACAGG
rnacentral:rRNA from 1 species